UACGAAGGGGACUAGCAUUGUUCGGAAUCACUGGGCGUAAAGCGCACGUAGGCGGAUGUGUCAGUCAGGGGUGAAAUCCCGGGGCUCAACCUCGGAACUGCCUUUGAUACAGCACGUCUCGAGUCCGGAAGAGGUGGGUGGAAUUCCUAGUGUAGAGGUGAAAUUCGUAGAUAUUAGGAAGAACACCGGUGGCGAAGGCGGCCCACUGGUCCGGUACUGACGCUGAGGUGCGAAAGCGUGGGGAGCAAACAGG
rnacentral:rRNA from 1 species